GGCUGAUCUGAAUGCAGUGAUAUUUACAACUAAUUGAUCACAAUCAGUUACAGAUUUCUUUGUUCCUUCUCCAUACUCACUGCUUCACUUGACUAGCCUUAA
ensembl:Y_RNA Y_RNA Y RNA